rnacentral:lncRNA from 1 species
CUCGAAUCGAAAUAGGCUCCAAUACAAGAGAUCCAAGUUUGUAGAUAUCAACAUCAGACAAUGAUCUGAUAUAAUCCUGAAGAGAUGAUAGAUUUGAUAAUUCAAGAACAUCUGGAUCCAUGGUUGGCCGUGUAAAGGCCCUAUCAAUAUGCUUCCAGAUUCUCGCACCAUCCUGAUGGUUAUUGCACCAGAUAAAUAUAAGUCCAGAGAAGCCUAAGUC